rnacentral:misc_RNA from 1 species
GGAAGGAUCAUUGAAUCUAUCACAAUCCACACCUGUGAACUUGCUUGUUGGCCUCUGCAUGUGCUUCGGUAUGUGCAGGUUGAGCCGAUCGGAUUAACUUCUGGUCGGCUUGGGGCCUCAACCCAAUCCUCGGAUUGGUUUGGGGUCGGUCUCUAUUAACAACCAACACCAAACCAAACUAUAAAAAAACUGAGAAUGGCUUAGAGCCAAACUCACUAACCAAGACAACUCUGAACAACGGAUAUCUUGGCUAGCACAACGAUGAAGAACGCAGCGAAAUGCGAUACGUAGUGUGAAUUGCAGAAAUACGUGAACCAUCGAAUCUUUGAACGCAAAUUGCGCUCGCGGCUUCGGCCAAGAGCAUGCCUGCCUCAGCGUCGGGUUAAUACUCGCCAAAAUUCUCCUAGGAGAGUCUAAGCGGACCUGGCUUUCCCGAUCCCAUUCAGUUGGAGUCGGGUUGGCUGAAGUACAGAGGUUGACGCAUGGACCCGCUAUGGGCCUCAACUGGGUAGGCAAUUCGUUGCUAAAUGCUUUAGUUGAUGGCUUGGGACUACGCAAUGUCGGCCCGAACCAGGAACCGAGCUUGCUCGGACAAUUAACCAUUUUCUCGACCUGAGCUCAGACAAGAUUACCCGCUGAACUUAAGCAUAUCAAUAAGCGGAGGAAAAGAAACUAACAAGGAUUCCCCUAGUAACGGCGAGCGAAGCGGGAAUAGCCCAACUUGAAAAUCUCCCUUUGGAGAAUUGUAGUCUAGAGAAGCGCCCUCUGGGUUAAACGGAGCUCAAGUCGGAUCGAAUGCCGCGUCAGAGAGGGUGAUAACCCCGUCGGCUCCUGUUUUAAUCCUUCACGAGGUGCUUUCCACGAGUCGGGUUGUUUGGGAAUGCAGCCCUAAUUUGGAGGUAAAUCCCUUCUAAGGCUAAAUAUAUGGUGCUAGACCGACAGCGAACAAGUACCGUGAGGGAAAGAUGAAAAGAACUUUGAAAAGAGAGUUAAAAGUGCUUGAAAUUGUUCAGAGGGAAGCGUUUGGAGUCCAUAGGUGCGCCCAGGCUUAAGCGAGCCUAAAAACUCGUUGAAUGUGCUGGGAGCUGGUCAGCGCGGGUUGGUUUGGCGGGAUAACAGUCGGGUCUACCCAGGUAACCUGGCCUAUGCCGCCGAGCCGAUCAAGGUGUGAAGAUUGCUUUGUCCUCCGGGAUCUGCAUUCUAAAGGCGCUGGCAGAAGGGCUUCAACCGACCCGUCUUGAAACACGGACCGAGGAGUCUAACAUGUAUGCGAGUUGGCGGGUGGUAAACCCGUAAGCGCAAGUAACCUGACUGGAGGGAUGGCUUAUGCCUGCACCUUCGACCGACCAUGUUGCUUUUGCGAAAGGUUUGAGUGCGAGCAUACCUGUUGGGACCCGAAAGAUGGUGAACUAUGCCUGAGCAGGGUGAAGCCAGAGGAAACUCUGGUGGAGGCUCGUAGAUGUGCUGACGUGCAAAUCGCUUUUCGGACUUGGGUAUAGGGGCGAAAGACUAAUCGAACCAUCUAGUAGCUGGUUCCCUC